rnacentral:rRNA from 1 species
UGUAGUCUUAUGCUUGUCUCAAAGAUUAAGCCAUGCAUGUCUAAGUAUAAAUCUUUUACUUUGAAACUGCGAACGGCUCAUUAUAUCAGUUAUAGUUUAUUUGAUAGUCCCUUACUACUUGGAUAACCGUAGUAAUUCUAGAGCUAAUACAUGCGUCAAUACCCUUCUGGGGUAGUAUUUAUUAGAUUGAAACCAACCCCUUCGGGGUGAUGUGGUGAUUCAUAAUAAGCUUGCGGAUCGCAUGGCUUUGCCGGCGAUGGAUCAUUCAAGUUUCUGCCCUAUCAGCUUUGGAUGGUAGGGUAUUGGCCUACCAUGGCUUCAACGGGUAACGGGGAAU